CUGGUCUUGAACUCCUGGGCUCAAAUGAUCCUCCUGCCUUGGCCUCCCAAAGUGCUGGGAUUACAGAUGUGAGCCACUGCAACUGGCCUGGUGUAGGAGUCUUAUUUUUCUGUCAGAGGAGGGCGUUCCCUUGGCUCAGAGCCUUGCUUAGGUAAUGUAGAAGGACCCAGGGUACACAGGGUGGGUGGCUAUUCUCCAGAAAUGUCAGUUUCUGGGCAGGGCUUAGGUGUCUGCAGUCCCUAGUCCCACCCCUGGCCUUGCAUUCCAGCUCAGCGGGUGGAAGGUAUAAAUUUCAGCUGCUCUCAGCCCUGCUGUGUUUUUCCAAAGCCUUCCAACAGCAACAUGAAGUUGGCAGCCUUCCUCCUCCUGUGAUCCUCAUCAUCUUCAGCCUAGAGGUACAAGAGCUUCAGGCUGCAGGAGACCGGCUUUUGGAUACUGCUAAUCAGUCCUAGCACUCUUUCUCUUUGAACCUGGACAAGGUGUCUGACCCUUCUCAACACAGCAUCAGACAGCCACCUCUAUUGACUGAAGUUGACAAUGGAGAAUAAAACUCAUUACCCCUGCUGAAUCCAGGGGCCCCUUUUUACAGAUGAGAAAAGUUCCAGAAAGACCCAGAGACAUAAUCAGGUACCUGCGUCGAGCUCUGCACAGGUGACUGGGACUGCAACCCCGGAGACCACUGUGUCAGCAAUGGGUGUGGCCAUGAGUGUGUUGCAGGAUGAAGAGUUAUCUUAAGGAUCAUCUUUCCCUAAGAUCGUCAUCCCUUCCUGGAGUUCCUAUCUUCCAAGAUGUGACUGUCUGGAGUUCCUUGACUAGGAAGAUGGAUGAAAACAGCAAGCCUGUGGAUGGAGACUACAGGGGAUAUGGGAGGCAGGGAAGAGGGGUUGUUUCUUUUAAUAAAUCAUCAUUGUUAAAA
rnacentral:lncRNA from 1 species